CCUACGGGAGGCAGCAGUGAGGAAUAUUGGUCAAUGGACGAGAGUCUGAACCAGCCAAGUAGCGUGAAGGAUGACUGCCCUAUGGGUUGUAAACUUCUUUUAUAUGGGAAUAAAAUGUUCCACGUGUGGGAUUUUGUAUGUACCAUAUGAAUAAGGAUCGGCUACCUCCGUGCCAGCAGCCGCGGUAAUACGGAGGAUCCGAGCGUUAUCCGGAUUUAUUGGGUUUAAAGGGAGCGUAGGUGGAUUGUUAAGUCAGUUGUGAAAGUUUGCGGCUCAACCGUAAAAUUGCAGUUGAAACUGGCAGUCUUGAGUACAGUAGAGGUGGGCGGAAUUCGUGGUGUAGCGGUGAAAUGCUUAGAUAGCACGAAGAACUCCGAUUGCGAAGGCAGUUCACUGGACUGCAACUGACACUGAGGCUCGAAAGUGUGGGUAUCAAACAGGAUUAGAUACCCGGGUAGUC
rnacentral:rRNA from 1 species